UGGGUGAGUGUCGACUAGAGGUCGCGUUGAACUGGGCCCGGAUCAAGGGCGAGCCCUCAAGCCAGCCCAGUUCGAUGGUGAAGUGGCUCGACUGCAAGCAAGUCCACACAUCCCUAUUUGGGGGGGGCAACUUCAAACUCUCAGUACAGCCUCGUAGUAAACUCACGAUGCUUCCUACAGACCAACUUUUCGCUGUCUGCCUGAGUUUUCUGACUUCCCUAGUCCAAUUGCUUGUGGCUUGACAUAAGCAGAAAAUACAAGUCAAAGCAGCAAUGAACAAAACCCUUCACAUGCUUAAGGUACUUUCUUCUCUAGUGGAAUAUAUGGUGGGAGGAUGACUGUUUCUGUAAGGUCUGACUUCCUGGUUGUCUCAGGUUCUAAUGUAGUCAUCUGUAUACUAAGAGGGGUGCAUCUGCUUCCCACCCUCCUUCCCCAUUCUUAGUUUUUCCAAAUGAAGUUUUGCUGGAGUUCAUGAUGGCCCGUAUAUGAAGCUUGAAUAUAAUACUCUUCUGCAAUAGUGCUGUCAGAUUCUCAGUUGUGAGAGUUUUCUCAAAUGCUUUUUGGCUUCUAAAUGUCAUGGAAUGUGGCUGUAGGAGACAAAACAUGUGCAUGGACAAGGGAAAUGCCCAGGAGCUUUUCCAGACUGCCAGCUGUACUGUGGGAGGAAGUGACUUAAGCUAGGACGAGUUAGGUUAGGGUGAGAGUAUAUAAAGUGCAUAUAGAUCUGCAUAUAAGCAUAAAUUGGAGUACACAUUUCUGCACCUUCCCUGCCUCCUGCUCCACCUCCUCCUUCUGCCCACCUUGUGCUGCGGUGAGCAGGUAGAUUGGUUAUUUUUACUCGUGCAUGACUGAGAAAAGAAGCAAUGCAGCCACACUCUUGCUGACAAGACCUGACUGGGAACGGUAACGGGUGCUCAAAGAGGGGGAGCAUGCUGCUGGUUGUCAUUCCCAGAGAGCUAUUGCCAGGAAGAGGGUGGAAAGGAAAAGAAAAGGUUGUGCUGUUGAGUCGGUGUCGACGCCUGGCAACCACACAGCCCUGUGGUUUUCUUGGUAGAAUACAGGAGGGGUUCACCAUUGCCUUCUCCCACAUAGUAUGAGCUGAUGCCUUUCAGCACCUUCCUAUAUCACUGCUGCCCGAUAUACGAGUUUCCCAUAUUCUGGUAAACACGCCAACAGGGAUUUGAACUGACAGCCUCUUGCUCCCUUGGCAAGUUGCCUCCUCACUGCAGUGGGGUGGAUGGGUUGUUUUUAUUUUCACCCAAGUGAGAGAGAGAAAAACUGAACCACCUGCGCUUGCCUAGUUAGCAGGGCAACUGAGCACUCUUGUAUCAUGCUGCAGCUCUAAGUUUUCCUUUUUAAAAGUUGUGGUUCAUCCACAAAUACAUAAUCUGAGCAGUGAGCCCAUUUUAUAAUUGCCCAAUUAUGAUCAAUAAUAAAAUAAACUCAUUAUAAUAAUAAACUUGAUUUGUUAAGCCACUGCAUAACAAGUUUUCAAACAACCUUUCCGUAGGUAUUGAGCAGAGGAGAAACAUAAGCCCUCUUGAGAUGUUAUGAGUGCCAGCUGUGCUCACUCUUACAACUGCAAAAGUGGGGAGGAAGUGUGACCUGCACUAUCAUUUACUCCCUCCAGCCAACAUGUUCACACUUAUGGCCCCUGGAUUACCUGAGGUUGCAGUUCAUGGAAGCACUGGCCAUCACACUUACAGUGUCUCCACCGGCAGACAAAUGGAGCUCUAAGCAUGUAUGGGCUGGCUGGAGGGGGUGAAAGACAGCACGGGGUAGCACCUCCUCCCUGUUUUUGCAGUUGUGUGAGUGUGGCUGGUUCUUCCAGGUGAUAGUCAUCCUGUUUGCAGGCUAAAGGGCUGUGCAGAAGGCUGGUUGGUUGACUGUUGUGACAAUCACAAAGCCACUACCACCCUCUUCCCCCCUUCCCUAGAGUAGUUUUCAAGUUUUAAAAUAAUGAAGUUUAAAGGAGAGGAGAGCUGGUCUUGUGGUAGCAAGCAUGACUUGGCCCCUUAGCUAAGCAGGGUCUGCCCUGGUUGCAUCUGAAUGGGAGACUUGAUGUGUGAGCAUUGCAAGAUAUUCCCCUCAGAGGAUGGAGCCGCUCUGGGAAGAGCAGAAGGUUUCAAGUUCCCUCCCUGGCUUCUCCAAGAUAGGACAAGAUUUUUUUUUUUAUAGGACAAGAUUUUUGUUAUUGAACCAACAAACUACCAAAGCAUACAGUACGUUGCCAAAGCACAAUUAUAUACAAAGUGGUUGUUUCUACAUGAUAUAUCUACAAAGAUUUACACACAAGGAUUUGGAAACCCACAAGGUUAUGAAGUAUAUGCAGGUACUGAGAGAGAUUCCUGCCUGCAACCUUGGAGAAACCGCUGCCAGUCUGUGAAGACAAUACUGAGCUAGAUAGACCAAUGGUCUGACUCAGUAUAUGGCAGUUUCCUAUGUUCCUAAAAACAUAUAGCAAUAUUAAGCAGGCUAGUUAAAGUAUGUGUUAAUACUUUACAACAAAUUAACCAGUAAAGGGCAACUCCCACUUCCUGCUGAGUUGAAGAAGGGAGAAGCCACAGAGAGCUUUUUUUUUUUAAAGACGCUUAUAUCCCGCUCUUCCUCCAAGGAGCCCAGAGCUGUGUACUACAUACUUAAGUUUCUCCUCACAACCACCCUGUGAAGUAGGUUAGGCUGAGAGAGAAGUGACUGGCCCAGAGUCAGCCAGCAAGUCUCAUGGCUGAAUGGGGAUUUGAACUCGCGUGUCCCCGGUCCUAGUCCAGCCUUCUUACUUUAAAUAAAAUAUAAAGUUUGUUUGAAAGAGAGAGGCUAUUCUCACAAUUGAGAAGAUGGUUUUUCCCCAUUGUGAGAACCACUGGGCUCACAGGAGAGCCUGGUGGUUCUCUGGCGGUUAGCCCGCCAAAGUAGCCCUCCCCUUAAAUGAGGUUAGCAAUCAUGAGUUGCCAGCCACGGCGUGACUCCACACACUACUUCCAACCAGCCCUCCCUUGGUCCCACAACCCCCAAACCCAGCCAGGCUUUGUCUAUGCCCACCAAGGAGCACCACCACACAAUCCACAUCCCCUGUCUCCCCCAACCUGCUACACACAAACCCCAUCUCCCAUUCCUCACUUACAGUUUAAGAAUCACACAGCUCACACUUAAGUGACAUGGGUUUGUGGGGUCCCCCCCCCCAAUUAAAAGUGAUUGCAAUGUAUAUGGCACAAGUGAUUUCUGGUUCUGUGCUUUUAAAUGAAGAAAAUCUAGGAACGCAGCAUGCCUGUUGCCAGGCAGUGAAAUUAUGGGUUAGGUGACAAGUUGCUAGGCAGUAGAUAGAAGGCCGAAAGUUCAUUCUGGAUAACAGCCAGCAAGAGAUGCAGCUGAUGCUGUUCUGACCUGCUCUGAGCCUCCCUCUCUUUUGUUGUGGGAGGAGCUUCAACAUGAACCCUAAGUUACAGCAGGUGUCAAAUUCAAAUGACUGGGGCCCAGUGCUGAACGAAUGAGUGAAUGAAGGGGCCAGUGGACCUGCAGUGUCAACAACUUAACCAGCUUCAAACUCAGAGUGGAACCAUGGUUGGGAAGAGAUCCUGUAUUCAGAUUUCACUGACCCAGAAAAUGUGCACAAACUUUAGAGAAAGAGAGAGAGACAAACAAACAAACAAACAAACAGAAAUAAAAAUUACUACUGUAAUCAACCUGGAUGAAUUCCACCAGCUCAGGAUCUGACUUGUGAGUUAGUAUCCAGAAACCUAGCUUCCCCACCCCCACCAAUAUUUGUAUCUUCUUCAAUUAGACAGCCAGCCAACACAUCAGCUAUCAGAAUUCUUCUCUGUAUCAUUAUCUAGUCACUUCCAAACACCAGAUAGCUUUUUAAAAGAGCCAAACGUGAGAUUGCUGGUUGGUUUUUCUCAGUACUCCUCUAUAGUAGGCUGCAUGCUGAGUGCACAAACUGCAGGCUUGUCUCACUGUUGACAAGAGAUGCUGAAAGAUUUCUGGAAGAGCUAUCCUCCUCAGGCUGAGAGACUAAGGGAGGAGAUGAAAGAAAUGGAAAACAAACUGACUUCAGAUCUGAAAUUCUGUGCUGACUGUCUUUUAUAAUAGUUGAAACAGACUUCAGAGAACAUUUUUCCUGCCCCUUUUCUGCUUCUGUGUAGUAGUCACUGAAAAAAACCCAAGAUUUCCAUCAUCUCUUUGCUCUAGGCUGGUUGCCGUGUUUCACUGCCAUUUUUCUCUGUAGAGGCAAGUGAUUCUGAAAUAUCUUUUUUGGGUAGUGAUGGAAGAAUGUCCAAGAUGAACUGGGCUCUGAAAGCAUUAAACAGCAGUUGCAAAGGCCAUAGCUGAGUGCUGCUUCUGUUUAGAGUCACCUGAUCCAUCUGAGUCGCUACCACCUCAAGUGAAAUUUAAGGGAAUUUGGAGAUUUCCCCUUGUGUGAAAAAUCUGAGGAAUUUUGAAGGAAGCAAAAUGUCUUCAAUUGCUCAGGGCUGGUUUCUUCCUACAAGUAAGAGACACACAGAAAACAUGAUGAAGCCAAGGCUUUGUUAGACAGUUUGCAUAGGCAUGAGUGUUAUCAUCCUCUAAGAACAGCCCUGCUGGAUCAGGCCCAAGGCCCAUCUAGUCCACUGUCCUGUUUCACACAGUGGCCCACCAGAUGCCUCUGGGAAGCACAAAGACAAGAGCUGAGGGCAUGCCCUCUCUCCUACUGUUAGUCCCCUGCAACGGGUAUCAACUCUACUUGUUACUGUGACAACAAAAUGGAGGUUUGUUUUGUUUUAGAAUUACAAUUAGGAAAAAAAAUCUUCUUUGUACAUAUGUUUGUGGUAAGGUAUAAAAUUAUACUGGAGGUUUUGUAUUGAAUGUAAUAGAGGCAGCAAAAGAACUGUGGUGAUUGGGUGGUGGGAAUUCCGUAUGCAGAUCCAUCUCACCCUGAAAGUCUGUGACAGUUAAGAUCAGUUGGAAGGUAACUGUUACUGGUUGGAAGAUGUGCUUGAUUGUAUCUGUAUAAAUCUUGAUUGAUCUGUAUAACGGAGAAAAGUGCCAUAUUUAUUGCAAACAAGAAAUUUAUUAAUUUAUUUCUUGGUUGCUGGGCUGCUUGAGGGCUCAGGGUGAGGGCUGAAAGUUUCCUCAAGUGAUGACUGAGUAUCCAGCGAUAAAUGUCUCAAAACCUCAAGAUGAGCCAUCACAGUUACUAGUCCAGCACCACUAUUCUGUGGGGAGCCUGAGGGCUGUAAAGGAAGUGUCCAUACACUAGGCAAAGUUGAGAAGAGCUGAGGCUGCAGAUGCUGGUACUCAGUUUCACCGAAAAAGAAAGUCCAAGGAGAAAUUGGCAGUUGCUGUUUGGGAGAAACAUCUAGGGCAUUUCAAAGGAAGCAGGAAGGAGUUGGCUAUGACUUUUCACAGGGCGCAACCGUUCACAGGGAGUUACUGAACUUCCAAGUAUCAGCCAAAGUGAGAGGUGUCUUGUGAUGACUUGAAAAUCUCUGCACAUUGUCGCAGGUGCCAUGUCUGAUUGUCAUAGCCACUCUAGAAGGGAUUCAUUUGCAAUUAAUAUCUGUGUUGGUAGAAACAGAAAUUGACGGGAUUUUGGUUAACAUAUAUUUAGAAAAACAUAAUGAGGCUGUUCUCACGCCCUACUAGCCUAACCUAGCCCUGCUUUGUAGCCCAGCUGUUAGCUGAGGAUAAGGGAGUGAGCGCUCCCUUAACCUGGGCUACGGGAUCGUGUGUUCCUCAGCGGACACAGAUAUGGGUGCCUAGAGCUCCCGGCUCCUGGGGGGAUCCCCCAAUGCAUCAUGUCACAUGGUGCAUUGUGGGCUGGGGUGCAUUUUCAUGGCCUCUGGAGUUCUGCACUGCACACACACACUGCAGAUUGUCUGGGAUCAUGGUCUGCACUCCAGGCAACAUGGAAUGGGUCUUCUGUGGGGAAGGUGAGUUUAACCAGCUUUCCCCCCACCUACCCGCCACCCUGCUUGCCCGGUUGUAUGAAUGACCUAAGUGUGUAAGGUCUAUAUUAUCUUGCCUCACCAGCUUUGGAAAGGUCUCCUCCCUCUCCUCUAUAGCAGUAAUUUGUGGCCUCUGAUGGGAAGCAUUUUUUACCCUUUCUAACUGAGAAGGGCAUUGCUUUUGUUGGCAAAAACUUCAUAUAGCAUGCUGAAUUUAUUAAAAUUGGUGAACAAGAGAGGUGGUCUUCAGAGUUACAAGAAAAAUACACACACAUUUAACAUAGGAAUAUUAACUGUAUAAGACUGUUUAAAAUAGCACUUAAUUGACUCCUUCCAGUAGAGAGCUAUAGCAUAUGCUACAGCAUUGCAUAAAGAGAGGAUCCUGUCUGGA